UACGUAGGUGGCAAGCGUUGUCCGGAUUUACUGGGCGUAAAGAGCGCGCAGGCGGUCGUUCAAGUCGCGUGUGAAAGCCCCCGGCUCAACUGGGGAGGGUCACGCGAUACUGAUCGACUCGAAGGCAGGAGAGGGAAGUGGAAUUCCCGGUGUAGUGGUGAAAUGCGUAGAUAUCAGGAGGAACACCUGCGGUGUAGACAGCUUACUGGACCACUUCUGACGCUGAGACACGAAAGCGUGGGUAGCAAACAGG
rnacentral:rRNA from 1 species